rnacentral:lncRNA from 1 species
UGUAACCAGUGAAUUUUUCCUUGUCGUUACAGUGAUUUCUAUAACCAUGGAACAAAGAGUAAUUUAGCCCAUGUAAGUUGUGACUUUGAACAUUUUGCACAUCAACCAACUCUGCUAACCGGUCACAGCCAGAGCAAUGACGGAACCAAAAGAAAAACGAAGACAAUGCUUGAAAGUUGCUUCAUCUCCCAGUACCACCUGCCACUCCAGCUCAGAGAAGUCUCCUCAAAGACCCUUUGCCAGGUGAGACAAGUGGCUUUUUGCUGUUGAUUGUCAGUGUUUUAUUGAAGGCUUGUACUCUACUAAAGAAAGCAAGGUCAGUGCUGGGGUAAAUUUCUGGCAGAUAUUUAAACUUCUGAGAGGGUGAAUG